rnacentral:lncRNA from 1 species
AUUUUUCUAACCACCAUCGAUUUUUCAUUUUCAGUGUAUACAUCUUCAUUUUUGCAACUUUUGCAAUUUUUUCCCCCUCCCCCUUAAGUUUACAUUUUAAAAAGCUUAUCUGUGGUUUUCUUGGUAAGACCUACAUAUACCCAAGGUGGAAAGUAAACAUUUGUUUUAAGGAAGUCCUGUCAUAGUGUGCUCAAGAUAGUUCCUCUGCCCUUACCUUCCCUGUGAAGCAGAAGGAAGAAAUUUUCUGAUUAGCAAGAUUUGGAGUGUGAACAUAGAAGAUACCUAUCUGAAAGCUUCUCUAGCAGUUUACAAUUCUAUGAUAUCAUUAGUUAUUUCCUAGAUUAUCAUGUAAUCUGAGAAGAAAAUUUGAAAAUGGGAUAAUACAG